UUWAACUGGGAUUAGANCCCCACUAUGUGUGGUCCUCAACAUCGAUAUCACUAUACUUAGAUUAUCCGCCCGGGAACUACGAGCAUUAGCUUAAAACCCAAAGGACUUGGCGGUGCUUUAGACCCCCCUAGAGGAGCCUGUUCUAGAACUGAUAACCCCCGUUAAACCUUACCCUCUUUUGUUUAAUCAGCCUAUAUACCGCCGUCGUCAGCUUACCCUGUGAAGGCACAUUACAGUAAGCACAAGUGGCACAGCCAAAAACGUCAGGUCGAGGUGUAGCCAAUGAGAGGGGAAGAAAUGGGCUACAUUCUCUGCCUCAGAGAACUAACGAAUGGUAAAUUGAAAUAAUACCUGAAGGAGGAUUUAGCAGUAAGCAGAGAAUAGAGCGCCCUGCUAAAAGGCCNGGNGCNCAAAA
rnacentral:rRNA from 1 species